AUUGAACGCUGGCGGCAGGCCUAACACAUGCAAGUCGAGCGAGCGGCGGACGAGUGAGUAAUGUCUGGGAAACUGCCUGAUGGAGGGGGAUAACUACUGGAAACGGUAGCUAAUAACGCAUACCAUCAGAUGCGCCCAGAUGGGAUUAGCUAGUAGGUGGGGUAGCGGAUCACCAAUGCGACGAUCCCUAGCUGGUCUGAGAGGAUGACCAGCCACACUGGGAAUGAGACACGGUCCAGACUCCUACGGUAGGCAGCAGUGGGGAGUUGUGCACAAUGGGCGCAAGACUGAUGAAGCCAUGCCGCGUGUGUGAAGACGGCCUUCGGGUCGUAAAGCACUUUCAGCGUGGAAGCGUUACCCGAAGAGGAAGCCCCGGCUAACUCCGUGCCAGCAGCCGCGGUAAUAC
rnacentral:rRNA from 1 species